GCCAGGCUGGUCUCUAACUCCUGGGUUCAGCAGUCCUCUUUCCACCUCCCAAAGUGCUGGGAUUAUAGUCAUGAGCCACUUCACCAGGCUCAUUUUCUCCUGAAAUGUCAAGGACAAAUCAUUAAUAAUGAGCAGAAAUUUUUAGGGGAAAAACAAUUUGGUUUACAGAUAACAAAAGGUAAUUGGAAACAUGAGAGUAUUUAUGAUUGGCCAAGCAGAACUGUGAAGUCCAUCAAAAUUCAUAUGAUGAAAUCUUCACCCUCAAGUUGAUAGAAGGUGGAGCCUUUGGGAAGUAUAAGAUAUGAGGGUGGAGCCCUCAUGAAUGGGAUUAGUGCCUUAUAAAAGGCCCCAGAGAGAUUCCUCAUACUCUCCACAGUGUGAGACUUCAAGGGGCCUGGUCUCUGAGGAAGUGGACUCUUCACAAGCACAAAUCAACCAGCACUUUGAUCAUGGACUUCCCAGUCUCUAGGACUGUGAGCAAUAAAUGUUUGACGUUUAUAAGCCACCCAGAUUGUGGCAUUUUGUUAUAGCAGCCUGAACAGACUAAGAUAGGGUGUUGCCUCCAUCAAAGAAUAUACUAACUUGUGGAUUAUUUGUGAAAUUGAAUUACAGUCAUUUCCGUAAGGUCUUUUACUGCUCCUUCCCCCACAAAAAAAAAAACAAAGCAAAACUGAUUCAAAAUGUCAUACUUUAAUGAAACAUUUUAUAAUUUGCAAAUUUUUAAGUAAUUCAUGAAAAAUCUUGAUCAGUGGAUCUCCUCUCUAGCUGCUCAUUAGAAUUUCCUGUGGAGAUUAAAUUUUUUGUUUGUUUGUGGAUCAAGAGUUCUGACUUGUUUAGGGUAGGGUUCAGGAUCAGAGGGUUUCUGAAGUUCCCGGGUGAUUCUGCGGUGAGUUGGGGCUGCCAGUCCCUGAGCUAGAUUAUAAAAUGCUUCUGGGAAAGAACCAUAUUUUAGGAAUUUGCCUUCCAAAUCAGCACCUGAUGACUUGGCGGGGCUUGCCCCACCACGGUCUGGCUUUGAAGGGCAGUGGAUGUCAGGAUCAUUUGGAUUAAUCUUCUGCCACCUCUUUCUUUUCCUCAACCAAGAGUGAAUUUAAUUUUAUUUAAUCUAGUGAAAGUCUACAAAUCAUAAUUGUAAUAAAUUAAGGCCAGGCAUUUGUUUUAUAUUAGAUAAGAUAAAGCCAAAGGUUUGAACAAGUUGUAGAUGGUUUGUAAACAUUAAUCUUGUAAAAUAAAUUCUCUGUGAACAUAUUUAUUAAAUUCAAAAGG